GCAGUUACUGAAUGGGACUGACCCACUGAUUGUCUUUUUGGGAAAUGAGGGACAAAUAAAUCACCCCAUCUGCUGGUGGUCUCUGAAGACAACUAAUCUCGAACGUGGAUUUCGACAUAAUCUAACAUACUUCAGGAAGGAUGCGCAGGGUCGAAGAAAGCGUGGAUCAUGGCAAGUACGAAAUACGACCUAUAGAGUGAGUCGUAAAAAUGAAGGACCAACGAUUGGUGUUACAGCGUUGAUGGCAAAUGGCACCAGAGACGAAGACAUAUCAAGAGUAUACGACAUAUUUUACGCUCAUCCAUCAUGUUUCGUCAUGGGUACACCACAGAAUGGUUCAGCUGGUUUGACGACGGGCAGUGAC
rnacentral:lncRNA from 1 species